AGAGCGAACGCUGGCGGCAGGCCUAAUACAUGCAAGUCGAACGGAUCCUUCGGGAUUAGUGGCGGACGGGUGAGUAACACGUGGGAACGUACCCUUUGGUUCGGAACAACUCAGGGAAACUUGAGCUAAUACCGAAUGUGCCCUUCGGGGAAAAGAUUUAUCGCCAUUGGAGCGGCCCGCGUCUGAUUAGCUAGUUGGUAGGGUAAAGGCCUACCAAGGCUACGAUCAGUAGCUGGUCUGAGAGGAUGAUCAGCCACACUGGGACUGAGACACGGCCCAGACUCCUACGGGAGGCAGCAGUAGGGAAUCUUGCGCAAUGGGCGAAAAGCCUGACGCAGCCAUGCCGCGUGAAUGAUGAAGGUCUUAGGAUUGUAAAAAUUCUUUCAGCGGGGACGAUAAUGACGGUACCCGCAGAAGAAGCCCCGGCUAACUUCGCGCCAGCAGCCGC
rnacentral:rRNA from 1 species